AUUGAACGCUGGCGGAAUGCUUUACACAUGCAAGUCGAACGGCAGCACGGACUUCGGUCUGGUGGCGAGUGGCGAACGGGUGAGUAAUGUAUCGGAACGUGCCCAGUCGUGGGGGAUAACGUAGUGAAAAUUACGCUAAUACCGCAUACGAUCUAUGGAUGAAAGCGGGGGAUCGCAAGACCUUGCGCGAUUGGAGCGGCCGAUAUCAGAUUAGGUAGUUUGUGGGGUAAAGGCCCACCAAGCCAAAGAUCUGUAGCUGGUCUGAGAGGACGACCAGCCACACUGGAACUGAGACACGGUCCAGACUCCUACGGGAGGCAGCAGUGGGGAAUUUUGGACAAUGGGCGAAAGCCUGAUCCAGCCAUUCCGCGUGCAGGAUGAAGGCCCUCGGGUUGUAAACUGCUUUUGUACAGAACGAAAAGGUUUCUACUAAUACUAGGAGCUCAUGACGGUACUGUAAGAAUAAGCACCGGCUAACUACGUGCCAGCCGCCGCGGUAA
rnacentral:rRNA from 1 species